CACGAUCAAAAAAGGAGUUGGGUGCA
rnacentral:sRNA from 1 species